UAUAAAUAUAUCAAAUAUAUGAAAAAUUGAUGUGGGUACUUAAAUGAUAGGUCUUGUUGAGUGUAUCAUCAGGAUGAGUUUAUAUCUUUAAAAAUGUCAAUAUUUUAUAAGAUACAAGAUCAUUUCUUAAUUAUACAUAUAAAUUAAAUGAAAUUUU